GGGUCGUUAGCUCAGUUGGCAGAGCAUCGGAUUUUUAAUCCGGUGGCCGCAGGUUCGA
rnacentral:tRNA from 1 species